rnacentral:lncRNA from 1 species
AUGUCCCAGUCUGGAAAAGUCCUUCAUCUGUAUGUGGAAGUGAGGCCUGCCCCAGAUCAGAAUGGUGGGAAAGGGGCAUUUGGAGAAAUCGAAGAGGGGAUUUCUUCGGUUGGGAACAGCCCUGCGGAGCUCCUGUCUCAGCUAGCGACCCAGACGAGCUGCCAGACAGUCACGAGUUCUUCCACGGCUCAUCGUCUGGUUCAGGAGUGCGCACACAGCCAGUCUCCAUCUCGAAACACUAUUAGCUUUCACCUCCAACAAGCCAGCGGCUCACCGACGGUUUGCAAAAGGGGUUUACCGUGUGAUGGAGUCUCUGCCCUCCACUCGUCGCCAGUGCUGCCUUCUUCUGGAAAGGUGGUCGUCCCUCACACGCCCCCCAACUGUCGGAGGUUAAAUGAGGGGGAGGUCGGUGAUGCGAAGCGGUCUGUGGUCACCUUCAGUUACAUUGAGAAGUCCAAUGUGAAGACGGUGGGCAGCCCUCGCACGUCUGUGUGCAUGAGAGGGAAGAGAGAGGAAAGAUCCACCCCCGCCCACAUUCAAAAACGUGUCAGCGACCCAAUUUGGUUUGGGAGUCCCAAUUCAUCGUGCAGCUCCAGUCCCAAGAUGACUUUCCGGUCACCAGGAAGUCCCCAGCAGACGUUCUCUCCCAGCCUUCGCCAACCACCCUUAGACCCCAUUGGCAGGGCAGCUACUCAAAGGGCUGUGGAGGAGUUUGGUUCCCCUCUGCUGAGGAUCAAACUGGCCCAUGCACUUGAGCACGCCUCAUUCUCGCGCUGCAGCCAACAGCCACGCUGUCAGUCCUGGGCUGGGUCUCCUGUUCAGCGUCAAAACCUCAGCGCAAACCCCAAAGACCUCUUUGCGGACAGGAGCCAGGCUAUUUGGGGGCUGCCUCGGAGCCCAGCGUCAGACCAGCUAUCCUCCCAGUCUUCUCACUCGAGACCUGGGUCCCGUGUGGAGACCCAGAGCCCUCUUCACCGGUCAGGGGAGGAGGGAGCUGUGUUGGGAAGCCCAGCCACCAAAAGACACAUUCACAGGGCCUGUAACAGGAGCACUUCACCACAGGGAGCGAUCCUACAACUUGGCAAUAAUUUAGUCGGGGGCUUGAACCAGUUGAGCGACAGUAAAUCGUCCUCUCCAGCUCACAGCCCUGAAGUUGCCCGUAGGCUAGCAGAGGAGGCCACCAAGGUAUCCUCCAUUUUCACAGAGGCCAGACGGUCCUCAUUGCACAAUGCUUUAGGCGAGAUCACAGGCAGUUCAAUCUCUGGAGAAUUUCACAAUCCGCCUCCAAUUGCACAACAGUAUAAGCAAAUGCUUAAGAUGAACAUCCCUUUAAAUGACCAACUCAUGCCAGCAACUGACAACACAGACUCUCACCAGCCUGAUUUGCAGUCACAUUCACAUGAAACAAACUCCUGCACUAAUAACGACUCUCACCAGGACGACUGCUUUCAGAAAUCCCAGCAUCAGAGCUCAGUUUUUUCUGCAGCUCAGAGUUCACCCGCCCUUCCGUCAAGGAUCCUCCGUCCCUCUCACCCUCCCACGGAGUUCUGCUCCCCCGUGAGGGACCCCAGGCUAUUCCAAGCUGAGCUCCGAGCACCAGAUACCCCCACCCUGCAUCGCCGUCAGCCCCCACGGUAUACUUGGGACUCCUGGGCGCCGAGCCUGGACAAGAGAGGAGAGCCGAGCUGUUUUGAGAAAGGGGAUUGCACUGAGCUAGCUCGCAGGCUCUUCAUCAAUCAACGUGUUGAGGAGGCUCCGGUCAGCUGGACUUCCAGGCAGCAGUGGGGGAAUCAUGUGGAGAACAGCCCGAGUCCAAGCCCUCAGCCUGGAUACGGUUCCCAUAACGACAAAUCCGAUGGUCAGUCGAGUCAACGUCGCCGGCCGCUCAGCCCCACAGCCCAGCAGAAACGGGCCGAGCAGAGGAGGAGAGAGAUCCUGCUUCUGGGGCCGGUGGUGCUGGACUCCCCAGAGGAGGAUGAGGGUUGCGAUGAGGAAGGAGACGGCAAUGUCGCGGAGGGAUAUGGGGCAGGGCAGCAGCCUCGCCAGCGGCCGGUCGAGGAGCCUCCAGAGGCGGAGCAGAAUGGGGUGAUGGGAGGGUCGUCCUCGCGGAGCUCCAGCGGGGUGACGGGCAGCCUGGGGGACAGGGAUUGUGUGUCGCCAGAGUCCAGCCAGUCCAGUCACCAGAGCAACGAGACUGGUGCUGCCACCUCAGGAAUACAGGUGAGUGCCGGGCGAACUCGUGGUUACGGCAUGGGAAAUCGUGCACAUGGUAUUGUUGAUGCGUUAGAGGUCAAGUCGCACCACUUCCAGGCAACGGCAACAUUGACGCCAAAUACUAACUGA